GACGAACGCUGGCGGCGUGCUUAACACAUGCGAGUCGAACGGAAAGGCUCCAGCUUGCUGGAGUACUCGAGUGGCGAACGGGUGAGUAACACGUGGGUAAUCUGCCCUGCACUCUGGGAUAAGCCUGGGAAACUGGGUCUAAUACUGGAUAUGACCUUUCUCCUUAUGGGGUUUGGUGGAAAGUUUUUCGGUGUAGGAUGAGCCCGCGGCCUAUCAGCUUGUUGGUGGGGUGAUGGCCUACCAAGGCGACGACGGGUAGCCGGCCUGAGAGGGUGAUCGGCCACAUUGGGACUGAGAUACGGCCCAGACUCCCACGGGAGGCAGCAGUGGGGAAUAUUGCACAAUGGGCGGAAGCCUGAUGCAGCGACGCCGCGUGAGGGAUGACGGCCUUCGGGUUGUAAACCUCUUUCAGCAGGGACGAAGCGUAAGUGACGGUACCUGCAGAAGAAGCACCGGCUAACUAUGUG
rnacentral:rRNA from 1 species